UUCAAUUUAUGAUGCUGUUUUGUGACUCAGUUAAUAGGAAAAGUAUUUACCUUCUACCUUGUCAGUUUUUAAAGAUUUUCAUGCUUUCGGUUAUCUUAAACUCCUUACGUUAUUAUUUUUAUGCCAACCUUACUAUACGUUUCCUGAAGUGAAAGUUGGUAAAUGCUCAGCAGUCUUGUGUCAUUUAGUUCUCUGCAGUGAAGUUUUACUUGUUUUUUUUCCCCCUUUAAAUCACAGAAAGCAUGCGGGAGGAGUCCUCGCAGCUGAAGUUGGUGGGAGAGUCAGUACUUCUCAUUUAAAUUAUUUAAAAAUGUCAUUCAUUCAUGGAAAACAGUUAUAUUUCGAACAUAUUAUUUCUAAUAUUUCUGUGGUUUUUAACUUUUUAAUGAAUGUCACAUAGGACAAGUGGUAAUUUGUAUAUAAAGAACUUGGUAAAAAAUUUGCUUAAUGUAAAUAUAGCCACAGUUAGAAUAGACUCAUCAGUAUAUUUUUGAUAAUUUUUCAUGUAUGGUAAAAGUUAAAGUUAACAGAUAUUCUGAUAUAAAUCUCAAGAGUUUUGAGAGUCAUUGUGGGAAAAUGGGAAGUUUUUAGACUUUCUUAAAAAGACUUUGUUAAAAUUUUAGGACACAUUUUUCCAGACAUCAUUGUUUGACCUAAUUUUGCAGUCUUUGAUAAUACUGCUUUAGAAGCUCCGUGGAAUCAGUGCGAACGCUCCUGUCUGCGUGGACAGUCUGUGUUACAGCCCGUGCAGCUGCUCUGACUCGCACUGUGCACUGUGCCCAGCCCCUUUGUCUCCCUCCUUGUUCAUUUCCAGCUACCGUGACUUUGUUAUUAAAGUAUAUGCAAAUAUGG
rnacentral:lncRNA from 1 species